GAAUAUUGGACAAUGGGGGCAACCCUGAUCCAGCCAUGCCGCGUGUGUGAAGAAGGCCUUAGGGUUGUAAAGCACUUUCAGUGGGGAGAAAAGUGGUUCAUUUAAUACGUGAAUCAAUUGAUGUUACCCACAGAAGAAGCACCGGCUAACUCCGUGCCAGCAGCCGCGGUAAUACGGAGGGUGCAAGCGUUAAUCGGAAUUACUGGGCGUAAAGCGCACGUAGGCGGUUUGUUAAGCCAGCUGUGAAAUCCCCGGGCUCAACCUGGGCACUGCAGUUGGAACUGGCAAGCUAGAGUAUGGUAGAGGGGUGUGGAAUUUCAGGUGUAGCGGUGAAAUGCGUAGAUAUCUGAAGGAACAUCAGUGGCGAAGGCGACACCCUGGAUCAAUACUGACGCUGAGGUGCGAAAGCGUGGGGAGCAAACAGG
rnacentral:rRNA from 1 species